rnacentral:rRNA from 1 species
UACGUAGGGGGCGAGCGUUGUCCGGAUUUAUUGGGCGUAAAGAGCUCGUAGGCGGUUCGAUAAGUCGGAUGUGAAAUCUCCACGCUCAACGUGGAGGGGCCAUUCGAUACUGUCGUGACUCGAGUCCGGUAGGGGAGUGUGGAAUUCCUGGUGUAGCGGUGAAAUGCGCAGAUAUCAGGAAGAACACCCGUGGCGAAGGCGGUUCUCUGGGACGGUACUGACGCUGAGACGCGAAAGCGUGGGGAGCGAACAGG